GCUGCCUCCAGCUGACCUAGAAUUUGCUCUGAAAGGAUUCUAUAACGGCCUUUGCUGUGGAGAGGUACUCAGUAACAACAAACAGUGACUUAUUCUUACAGGCUCAUUUCAUCCUGCAUAACCCACACCACCUCCCUUGUCAAACCUGGAGUGGACACUGGUGUCUUACAAAAGUGCCCUUCUGCUCCCUGGCUCUGCUGGGGACAGUGCAAGGGAAGGGUUUCCCGGAGCCAGAUGGACCUGAGUUUGAAUACCACCCCUGCUCCUUGUCCUGCGCCCUUGGACAUGUUACCCUCCUCACCGACCUCUGACUUGUUAUCUGUGAACUGCAGAAAUCGGCUUCGUAGAUGUGCUCAGAAGUGAACGAAUCAGAGGCUGUCAGCGCCAGGCCCCAAACCAUCGAGACGUUUGAUCCUGCUAAUUAUGCUGUGAGGCCGGGACGGCAUUUCACGGUUUACCAUUGCUCCUGGGGCGCGCUACAAAUUAUACAUAAUGCAUUGCAUUGUAAUUGCUGCAUUGUGAACUUGGCUCGCCUUUCCAACAUAAAAUACCGACAUCCAAGUAGUUUUAUUAUAAAAAAAAAAAAAAAAACCAUAAGGGAUUCUUUCGGAUUAUAAACAUCUGAAGACAUAACAUUCUCAUGAAUUCCAGCUGGCUAUUUUGGACACACAGAGGGCAGGCCAGGCUGAAAAGCAAAGCAAAUAUACUUCAUAUUAAUGUUUACAGAGAAAAAAGAGGAGGCAGUCAUAAAGGCAAGACUCGACUGAAUGCAAAACGAAACGGAGGGGGCACAAGCUGAAGUGGGGACAGAAGUCCAAACCGAGAAAGCAGAGAUGCACAUUCUCAGGAUGGUCCCUUUGCCUCACUGUGCCUGGAGGUCCUCAUUUCAGAAACAAAGGCGCAGAACCAAAUGACCACAAAAGUCUCCUUUUCCCCCAAGACAGGGGCCUCGGGAGAGCAGUGGCUUGUUUUCCGAGUCCAGUUUGUAGGAACCUGUGUCUUGUACCAAACAUGGGGCCUUGUGCCGGUGCCCUACUGCUUUGGGGGCCCUUAGAAUAAGACAAUGCCUCCUCUUUAAGGGGCAGGAGGUGGGGUGGCUGCAUGAACGGAGCUGCAAGUUUUCUCUAUGCAGUACCACCAGGUGGAAACAAAAUCACAAGAAUGACAUCAUGGUCAGUGAGGCUCACCGCCGCUGCCGCUGCUUGCACGCCCCGGGCCAGAAGUCCCCGCCCCAGACACCCCACAGCCGGCUACCUGGAGCUCCGGGCCUGCGGUUCCUGUACCAAGCAACACCGAAGAACCAGGCGACUACUCAUCCUCGCUUCUCCCCUCCCUCCAAAAUGAGACGGUAACAUGAUCUAUGAAUUCAGACCAGUUCCUUUUCACCUCCUUUCAGGGAGAAGAAUGUUCUAGAAGAGCUUAAGUGGAGGUGGCACUCAAUCUGAGCACAUUCUGCACCAGUGAGGAUGCCAUUAUCAAAGAAGGGGCUUCAGGGGUGUG